rnacentral:misc_RNA from 1 species
GAAAUGCGAUAAGUAAUGUGAAUUGCAGAAUUCAGUGAAUCAUCGAAUCUUUGAAUGCAUAUUGCGCCCGCCAGCACUCUGGCGGGCAUGCCUGUUCGAGCGUCAUUUCAACCCUCAGAACCCCUUGCGGGAUCUGGCGUUGGGGAUUGGCAUCCAGCCAGCCCCGAAAUCUAGUGGCGGUCCCUCCGCGACCUCCCCUGUGCAGUAGCGAUACCUCGCAGCGGGACAGCGGUCUGACCACGCCGUAAAACCCCCAACUUCUCAAGGUUGACCUCGAAUCAGGUAGGAAUACCCGCUGAACUUAAGC